rnacentral:rRNA from 1 species
CAGCCGCCGCGGUAACACGAAGGGGGCUAGCGUUGUUCGGAUUAACUGGGCGUAAAGGGCGCGUAGGCGGGUUUUUAAGUCAGAGGUGAAACCCCAAGGCUCAACCUUGGAACUGCCUUUGAUACUGGAAGUCUUGAGUCCGGGAGAGGUGAGUGGAACUGCGAGUGUAGAGGUGAAAUUCGUAGAUAUUCGCAAGAACACCAGUGGCGAAGGCGGCUCACUGGCCCGGUACUGACGCUGAGGCGCGAAAACGUGGGGAGCAAACAGGAUUAGAUACCCCAGUAGUCCCUGUCUCUUAUAC